rnacentral:rRNA from 1 species
UACGAAGGGGGCGAGCGUUGUUCGGAAUCACUGGGCGUAAAGGGCGCGUAGGCGGCCCUCUUAGUCGCGUGUGAAAGCCCCGGGCUCAACCUGGGAACGGCGCGCGAACGGGAGGGCUGGAGUUCGGGAGAGGAGAGUGGAAUUCCCAGUGUAGAGGUGAAAUGCGUAGAUAUCCGGAGGAACACCGGUGGCGAAGGCGGCUUCCUGGACCGAUACUGACGCUGAGGCGCGAAAGCUAGGGAGCAAACGGG